CUCUCUUUGAGUUUAAUUUUUCUCCCAUUGCUUCAUUUUGGUUAAAUAAUUUUUUAAAAAAUAGCAUGUCAGAUCAUAAUCAUAUUGUAAUCCUUUCAGAAGGUAGUAUCUCAAACUCUUUUAGGAUGAGCUUCAUGGAUCUAUCCUCUAACAUAUCUGCCUACUGUCCUUGACACAGACUGGACAUCUUUGGAUCUUGAAAUAACCAAGAUUCAGUUCUCACCAUGCCAUAUCUCAUAUGGUGUGGUAGGAAUAGAUUUAGAGAGAACCCAAUUCUAUAGAAAUAAAGUAUAUCCUUAAAGAAAUAAAAUAAAUCAGUGAAGUCCAUCAUAGACCAGACCAUAUCUCAUAUGGUCCCAUAACUCUUCUUAUCUCAUUGAGCUGAGAUGUAUUAAGAGCGGUCCAGUAUAAAACUAUACCAUUUUAUG
rnacentral:lncRNA from 1 species